CUACUACUCCCUCUGUCCCAAAUUUCUUGUCUUAGAUUUGUCUAGAUAUGGAUGUAUCUAAUACUAAAAUGUGACUUGAUACAUCCGUAUCUAGACAAAUCUAAGACAAGAAUUUUGGGACGGAGGGAGUNNNNN
rnacentral:pre_miRNA from 1 species